UACGUAGGUGGCAAGCGUUGUCCGGAAUUAUUGGGCGUAAAGCGCGCGCAGGCGGUUCCUUAAGUCUGAUGUGAAAGCCCACGGCUCAACCGUGGAGGGUCAUUGGAAACUGGGGGACUUGAGUGCAGAAGAGGAAAGCGGAAUUCCACGUGUAGCGGUGAAAUGCGUAGAGAUGUGGAGGAACACCAGUGGCGAAGGCGGCUUUCUGGUCUGUAACUGACGCUGAGGCGCGAAAGCGUGGGGAGCAAACAGG
rnacentral:rRNA from 1 species